AUCCGCGCCCCUUCGAGGUGGCCCUGUGGUCCGGCUUUAGAGCUCCGCGCUUUUGUGGAGCUCGAGAGUCCGGGGCAGCUGGGACAAGGUAGACACAGGAUAUCGACCUUUUUAUUUUUAACUGCAUUUUCAGUUUGGAGGUUGUAAAAUAGGUAUAACAUUUAAGAAAAAAAUUUGAAAGGUAUCUAUUGGAUGCUGAUGAUUAUGAAACAAAGUAGCAAAGAUAAGAAGCCAUUUGCUCAUUCUGCUCCUUUGCCAGCAAUAUUUCACAAAGCCCCUGACUCCUUGACUGUGAGCAGCCUUGUGGAAGAAUGCCUUGAAGACCAUAAGCAGGAUGGGGAACAGGUUUGCACAUCUCUUGGCUGAAUCACCGAAUUUUUACAAAAGAAGAGGUUCAAUUAAGUGGUUGAAAGCUUCAGGAAGAAAUUUAAGCUAAAUUGAAAUGAGGGAGUAACAUCAGCAAGAUGAUGAAAUGGAAGAUCCCCUACUAUCACUCCCUCCAUAAAAAUACAACUGGAAACUACUUAAAGACAAGAACACAACCCUGAGUUCACCACAAUUCAAGGGAGAAUUGAAGAAACCUCCGGGGCCCUCAAAAUUGAGAGAAGCUGUGACAGAAUACUUAUUAAGAUAAAAGGAGCAGUGUGCUACUUCAGUGUCAAGCAGUGUUGGAUUUAAUCAAUUUCAGAUGUAUACAACCCUGGCUUUCCCAGGCACCCCAACCAGAUAGCAGAGAGGCAAGGGGCACCACUCUAGUUGCUGAGUUGAGAAUAGAGGCAGGUGGCAGAAAGUGAAAGCAGGGAGACCAGCAGGAGGCUACUGCAAAAAUGCAGGUGUCUCAGAACAUCCGGGAGUAUGAUUGCUGUAGUUGUCACAUGGAAGAGAGAGAGUCAUUGUAAUCACAGGCGGCAGAAACACUGGGGCAGUAUUGAAAUUAUAUGAAAUGCCAGGGUGAUUGUCCCCAUGAAGCCACCAGCGCCAUGUUAGGAAACACCUUCUUUUGAAAGUGGGUGCUCAGGACAACAGAGAUACACAGAAACUUUUCUUCUGCUUUCAUAAAAGUGACAGAGACGAGAGAUAACCAAGGAUCCCCGGUGAAAUCCCACCAUCAAGCCUAAAACAGCCUGAAGGCUGACAAACCAGACUGCUGGUCCCAGAUGAAACCCGGAGCCAGACGGAGAACUGCCCCUGUUUACCCACCUUUUCUCAACUAAUUCUUUCUGAAUAAUGCCCACAUGAGCACUGGGGGGAUGGGGUGGAGCCACGGGAAUCCGUUCCUCGUGCAGCCCCACCUCGUGGGCGGUGGCCUGGCGUUCUGUUCAAUCUGUGAGGUGGGAGUCUA